rnacentral:rRNA from 1 species
UACGUAGGGAGCAAGCGUUGUUCGGAUUUACUGGGCGUAAAGGGCGCGUAGGCGGCGCGGUAAGUCACUUGUGAAAUCUCUGAGCUUAACUCGGAACGGUCAAGUGAUACUGCAGUGCUAGAGUGCGGAAGGGGCAAUCGGAAUUCUUGGUGUAGCGGUGAAAUGCGUAGAUAUCAAGAGGAACACCUGAGGUGAAGACGGGUUGCUGGGACCGACACUGACGCUGAGUGCGCGAAAGCCAGGGAGGCAAACGGG